GAUGAAGAACGCAGCGAAAUGCGAUAAGUAAUGCGAAUUGCAGAAUUCCAGUGAGUCAUCGAAUCUUUGAACGCACAUUGCGCCCGCCAGUAUUCUGGCGGGCAUGCCUGUUCGAGCGUCAUUUCAACCAUCAAGCCCCCGGCUUGUGUUGGGGACCUGCGGCUGCCGCAGGCCCUGAAAAGCAGUGGCGGGCUCGCUGUCACACCGAGCGUAGUAGCAUACAUCUCGCUCUGGGCGUGCUGCGGGUUCCGGCCGUUAAACCACCUUCAUAACCCAAGGUUGACCUCGGAUCAGGUAGGAAGACCCGCUGAACUUAAGCAUAUCAAUAAGCGGAGGA
rnacentral:misc_RNA from 1 species